rnacentral:rRNA from 1 species
AAUGAACGCUGGCGGCAUGCCUAACACAUGCAAGUCGAACGAAGGCUUCGGCCUUAGUGGCGCACGGGUGCGUAACGCGUGGGAAUCUACCCUUAGGUUCGGAAUAACAGUUGGAAACGACUGCUAAUACCGGAUGAUGACGUAAGUCCAAAGAUUUAUCGCCUAGGGAUGAGCCCGCGUAGGAUUAGCUAGUUGGUGUGGUAAAGGCACCCCAAGGCGACGAUCCUUAGCUGGUCUGAGAGGAUGAUCAGCCACACUGGGACUGAGACACGGCCCAGACUCCUACGGGAGGCAGCAGUGGGGAAUAUUGGACAAUGGGCGAAAGCCUGAUCCAGCAAUGCCGCGUGAGUGAUGAAGGCCUUAGGGUUGUAAAGCUCUUUUACCCGGGAUGAUAAUGGCAGUACCGGGAGAAUAAGCUCCGGCUAACUCCGUG